CCUACGGGAGGCAGCAGUGAGGAAUAUUGGUCAAUGGACGCAAGUCUGAACCAGCCAUGCCGCGUGCAGGAAGACGGCUCUAUGAGUUGUAAACUGCUUUUGUACGAGGGUAAACGCAGAUACGCGUAUCUUUCUGAAAGUAUCGUACGAAUAAGGAUCGGCUAACUCCGUGCCAGCAGCCGCGGUAAUACGGAGGAUUCAAGCGUUAUCCGGAUUUAUUGGGUUUAAAGGGUGCGUUGGCGGUCGGAUAAGUUAGGGGUGAAAUCCCGAGGCCGAACUUCGGAAUUGCCGGUGAUACGGUUGGGCUAGAGAGUAGUUGCAGUAGGCGGAAUGUAUGGUGUAGCGGUGAAAUGCAUAGAGAUCAUACAGAACGCCGAUUGCGAAGGCAGCUUACCAAGCUACAUCUGACGUUGAAGCACGAAAGCGUGGGGAGCGAACAGGAUUAGAUACCCGUGUAGUC
rnacentral:rRNA from 1 species